UACGAAGGGGGCUAGCGUUGUUCGGAAUCACUGGGCGUAAAGCGCACGUAGGCGGAUCUUUAAGUCAGAGGUGAAAUCCCAAGGCUCAACCUUGGAACUGCCUUUGAUACUGGGGAUCUUGAGUCCGGGAGAGGUGAGUGGAACUCCGAGUGUAGAGGUGAAAUUCGUAGAUAUUCGGAAGAACACCAGUGGCGAAGGCAGGUCUCUGGGCUGUAACUGACGCUGAGGAGCGAAAGCAUGGGGAGCGAACGAGG
rnacentral:rRNA from 1 species